UACCAAACACACCUGAAUGAUUGGAAUUAUUGGGUAGGCAUCUUGAUCCUGUUCAUCCAACUGGUUCCAUGAACUGUAGGGUUGCAAAUGCAGCAUCUAGUGUGGGUUUGGAGUCAAGCACUUUAAAUCAGUGUGAGGACUUUAAAGGGCCCAGAGUGCUUCCUUCUGUUAUGAGAAAUCCUUCCCAACAAGAACCACAAGAAUCAAUAGCCCAAGAUGAGACGCUUGCUGGGGAGAUGAAUGGAUCUAUAAGAUCUGAAAGGGCUGAUGAAAAUGAAGUCUCUAGUGAAUACUUUUCAGCCACUGAAACUCACCAGAGUAUAUUGGUAUCAUUUUCAAGCCAUUGUGUGCUGAAAGGAAUUGUAUGUGAACGCUUUCGGUCCCUGCGCAUAAAGUUUUAUGGUUAUUUUGAUAAGCCUCUAGGGAGAUAUCUGCGUGAUGACUUGUUUGACCAGACAUGUUGCUGUCGAUCAUGUAAAGUGCCAGUUCAGGCCCAUGUCCUAUGUUACACCCAUCGACAGGGAAAGUUAACAAUCAAUGUUAGAUGCCUUCCGGAUAUAAGACUACCUGGGGAACGGGAUGGUAAGAUCUGGAUGUGGCACCGAUGCCUAAGGUGUGCCCAUGUGAAUAGAGUUCCACCAGCUACUCGUAGAGUGGUUAUGUCAGAUGCUGCCUGGGGACUUUCUUUUGGAAAGUUCUUGGAACUUAGCUUUUCAAACCAUGCAACUGCUAAUCUUGUUGCACCCUGUGGUCAUUCAUUGCGAAGGGACUGUCUCCGUUACUAUGGGUUUGGGAGCAUGGUUGCAUUUUUCCGGUAUUCCCCUAUCGAUAUUCUUUCUGUUCAUUUGCCACCGUCAGUGCUUGAAUUCAAUGGCCAUGUUCAAUAUGAAUGGACAAGAAAAGAGGCUGCAGAGCUUGUCCGUAAAAUGGAGACCUUGUAUGCCGAGAUAUCUGAUGUACUUGAUAGCUUGGAAGAAAAAUGUAAGGCUUUUGGUAAUGAAUGUUCGGACACGAAUGACUUACAGGGCCACAUCAUGGAGCUGAAAGACUUGCUUAAAAAGGAAAGAAAUGAUUACAAUGGUUUGCUUCGACCGGCUAUUAUGGAGACUUCACAGCCAGACUGGCUGUCUGGAGACAUUCUGGAAUUGAAUCGCUUGAGACGCUCUCUUUUAGUUGGUUCACAUGUUUGGGAUCAGCGGCUUUGUUCAUUGGACUCUCUACUUAAAAAGAGUUCUAUUUCAAAGGCUGCACAAGGGGAUGCAUCUUAUGCCCAGCUGAAAGAGCUGAAGAGUGAGUUAUCACACAAGGAUGGCAUGCUUGGCAGUGGGCAUGAAGAUUCUGACGCUUCAAAAUUACAUGAGUCUCUUGGCAACAAUUUGCAGUCAGAGCAGGAGCAGCCUAAUGUACCAGCCUUUGAACCUUCUGUUGCUGUAGACUCGAUGUUAACCACAUGUCAUCAUCAUGUCAGAGAGGAGGAAAAACAUUCAGAUGGGGAAGUUAGUGUAAAUAAGACACUAAGUGAAAGCUUAUCGCCCAAUGAGUCUACUAUAUCUGAGAGAAUAGAUUCUGCUUGGACUGGUACUAAUCAACCUGCAAUGAAAGCUCAACUUCAUUCAUCACAUGCAGAUGAACUCCAAGCUGGAUCUGUCAGGCAGAUUAGUCAAAAUGGUAAACCUCCUUUUAGAAGGUUAAUGUCACGAAUGAGAGUUCGUGCUUUUGAUUCUGCAUUACGAGUCCAAGAAAGAAUCCGGAAGGGAUUGCCUCCCUCUUCCUUGCGUUUGUCGAUACUUAGAUCUUCCCAUGCCUCUGGAUAUUACAGGAGUAUGGUGAGAGAUCCUGUUUCCAAUAUAAUGAGGACUUACUCCCAAAUGCUGCCAUGGAAGACACGGAAGUUAAACUUAAAUGUCAGUUCCACACCAUCACUUAUCUCCUCCGCAUCUCAUAUGGCUGAAGGUGCUCGGCUGCUGCUUACGCAAACUGGCCACAGUGAUUUAGUUAUUGCCGUUUAUGAAAAUGAACCCACUAGUAUAAUCUCGUAUGCCCUUAGAUCCAAGGAGUAUAAUGAUUGGGUUGCUGAUAAGUUGAAUGAGCAUGAGGGAAGCUGGAGUCUCCAUGAGAGCACUAAAGAAGAUUCUGCAGUUUCCACCUUUUCUGCCUGGCAGUCUUUUAGGUCUUUGGAGUUUGAUUAUAUUCAUUAUGGUAGUUAUGGAUCUGAAGUUGCUUCAUCAUCAAUGGGUACGUUUUUUAAAGAUCCCAAAAGACCUCCACAUUUAAAAAUAUUUUUUGAGGAUGAGUUUUCAACUGCCGGAGGCAAAGUAAAGUUUUCAGUCACUUGUUAUUUUGCCAAGCAAUUUAACUCUCUAAGAAAAAAAUGCUGCCCUAGUGAAGUGGAUUUUGUGCGAUCCUUGAGCCGCUGCCGGACAUGGAGUGCACAAGGGGGGAAAAGCAAUGUAUAUUUUGCCAAGUCAUUGGAUGAAAGAUUCAUUAUAAAACAGGUUACAAAAACAGAGUUGGAUUCCUUUGCGGAUUUUGCACCUAAAUAUUUUAAACAUUUGACAGAAUCUAUUAGCUCGAGAAGCCAAACUUGCCUUGCAAAAAUUCUUGGCAUUUAUCAGGUCUCUGUAAAACAUCUAAAAGGUGGUAAGAAAACAAAAAUGGAUUUGAUGGUGAUGGAGAACCUCUUUUUCAAGAGAGAUAUCUCAAGGGUUUAUGAUCUCAAGGGCUCUACACGAGCUCGUUAUAAUUCAGACACAACAGGGACAAACAAAGUUCUGCUAGAUAUGAAUUUGUUGGAAACAUUACGAACAAAACCUAUAUUUGUUGGAAGCAAGGCAAAGAGAAUUCUAGAAAGAGCUGUCUGGAAUGAUACAUCGUUUUUGGCGUCUGUGGAUGUUAUGGACUAUUCCCUGCUGGUUGGGGUGGACGACGAACGCAAAGAGCUGGUUUUAGGGAUCAUUGAUUUCAUGAGACAGUAUACCUGGGACAAACAUUUGGAGACAUGGGUGAAGGCAUCUGGGAUACUUGGUGGUCCAAAAAAUGCUUCCCCCACCAUUAUUUCUCCCAAACAAUACAAGAAAAGAUUCCGGAAGGCGAUGACUACCUAUUUUCUCACUGUACCUGAUCAAUGGUCUUCAUGAACUGCUUCAUCGCAAUUUUUUUGUUUAAACUCCAAAAUGCAUCUGUUUUCAAUAAAGAAUAGGGGAGGAUUGUAAUUGCAGAUAAAUGGAGACCCCGUGAGGAGGAUGGAUCAACUUGGAGGUAUCUCUAUUGAUAGACUUUUGGGCAAAUUUCUUUAAAAAGGGCUUCUUGGGAGUUUCUUGUUUCAAGUGAGGGCAUGCAACAAGGUUUCUUUCAUUGGGCCUCUCAGGGGAUUGGGGCAUGUUUGCUUAUGCUAUAAUAGAUUGAGUUAUAUAAAAUCUA